UACUCAGGCCCUGUUAGUGUGAACCAGG
rnacentral:piRNA from 1 species